UUGGGCUCUGGCGGGCCGCGGGACUGGCAGAACCUGCGGGCUAGGUGGGUGGCUCGCCAGCCGGGACGAAGGGAAAUGAGGACCACCGCUCCGGGGCGCGAGUAGGCGCGUGGAGUCCGGGGGCUCAGCCGCCGCGCCUCUUCCUCCUGCAGCUGGAGACUGCAACAGCGGCGGGUGCACCGGCAGCAGCGACGACCCUGCGCGCAGGUGGCAGUGUAGAAGCCAGACCGGGAGCUUCCAGAAGUGGUUUCUGAAAGAGUCAAAUGUACAUGAGUAAGCAAGCACAGGAAUCUGAAAAACCACAGGCCCACUAAUUUGCCUGCUUGACUAAAAUAAGGAUGAGUUUUGUGCUGAUGAGAGACAUGUUUGUAAUGUUAUUCGUUGUGACACAGUUCAAAAGAAUUUGCCUUUGAUUCUCACUAAAAUGUAAAGUUUUGCAUAUUAAGAUCCUUUUUCAACAACUGAGCAACUCUUUAUAAUGAAGGGCAGAAGACACCAAAGGGAAGAAAAUGUUUACCUUUGUGGGCUUUUACUUUCUUUCCUGGGAAUGGUAGGCCAUAGCUAUGGGUAUUUUUAUUUAUUUUUUUUUUUUUGAGAAGAAGUCUCGCUCUGUCGCCCAGGCUGUAUUGUAGUGGCAUGAUCUCGGCUCACUGCAACCUUUGCCUCCCGGGUUCAAGCGAUUCCCCUCCCUCAGCCUCCUGAGUGGCUGAGAUUACAGGCACCCACCACCAGGCCCGGCUAAUUUUUGUAUUUUUAGUAGAGACGGGGUUUCACCAUGUUGGUGAGGCUGGUCUCCAACUCCUGACCUCAGGUGAUCCUCCCGCCUCGGCCUCCCAAAGUGCUGGGAUUACAGGCAUGAGCCACCGCCUGCCACCGCUAUUGGUACUUUCGCAUGGAUGCUAAAGUUAUUGUGUUGGCUGUGUUAAGGGUCAGGCAUCAAAAUGGCCGCUCAAGAGAAUGAAGCUUUCUCUUUGUGCGGAUGCAAGGGGUGGGAUGGGGUGCACAAUUCUCACAAUGCUGGAAUGUGGUGUUACCUCGACAUUCUGCCUUUACAGCUGAGGAGGGAUUUGUUUCGCCCCUGCUAAUGAAGGUGUUAAAUAAACUUGGAUGCUGUUAUUGAAGCUUAAAAAAUAAAUGGAAGCUGGGUACGAUGGCUCAAGCCUGGAAUCCCAGCACUUUGGGAGACCGAGAUGGGAGGAUUGCUUGAGCUCAGGAGUUCAAGACCAGCCUAGACAACAUGGGAACAUCCUGCCUCUACAAAAAAAAUUACAAAAAGUAGCCAGGCGUGGUCAUGUGCACCUGUAGCUGUGUGUACCUGUAGUCCCACCCAGUCGGGAGGCUGAGGUGGGAGCCUCCCUUGAGCCUGGAAGGUCAAGGCUGUGGUGAGCCACAAUCAUGCCACUGCACUCCAGCCUGGGUGUGACAGUGAGAUCCCUUCUUAAGAAAAAAGAAGAAAUUGAACACUUACCAGUAGAAAGCAAACAGGGAGCUCAGACUCAGAAAGUGUAGAUUGGUAGAUUGCACUAAAUACUGACACUUUAAAGACUCCGUGGAUAAGGAGUGGCUUCAGGAAAGCUCUCGAACAUUUAGGAACAUGUAAGUUUGCACUGCGUGAGACUUAGAUUCAUUAUCUGACUCAGGAAAUUGGGAUGUAACUAAUUAUCCGUCAACAUAUCUAACAGGAACGGAGUCUCAUCUUCUCAGUCAAAAAGAAAAAGAACAAGGUUGAUAUUUUAUUCCUUUUUUGAAUUAUAGUAUAUUUGUUGUAGAGCCAUUAGGUGCUUUAGAGAUAUUUAACUUUUGACAUAUAACAUACAUAAUAAAGUGUGUAAAAGAUACUGGUCUAAAGUGUACUGCUCAACGAGAAUCACUUGAACCCAGGAGGCUGAGGUUGCAGUGAGCCGAGAUUGUGCCGCUGCACUCCAACCUGGGUGACAGAAUGAGACCCUGUCUCCAAAAAGAAAAAUAAAUAAAUAAAUAAAUAAAUAAAUAAAUAAAUAAAUAGUGUACUACUCAGUGAAACUUUGCAUGCGUGUAUACCAUGUGACCAUCACCCGAGUCAAGAUGUAGAUUUCCAGCACUCCAGAAGAUUUCCUCUUGCCCCUUCUGCUCAGAAUUCAUCUUACCUCCAACAUGAAGGUCACCACAUUGUGAUUUUUAAAAAACUCCGUCCACUAGUUUUGGCUUAUAAGGGAACUCUUGUGUGUGUCUUUCAUUCACACAUAUAGACAGGCAUUAGAAUUUCACAGACAUAGCAUAAAGUCUAUGAGAUUCAUCCACAAGGUUGUGCAUAUCAGUAGUUCUAAUCUCUUGCUGAGAAUCAUUCCAUUGUAUGCAUAUACCACAGUUUGUUUCUCCAUUUUCCUGUUAGCUCUUUGGAUUGUUUUCAGUUUGGGGCUAAUACGAAUAAAGCAGCCAUGAACAUUCUUGCUUAUGUCUUUUGGUGCACAUGCCCAAUCAUUUCUCUGAACAUAUGCUCAGGAGUGGAAUUGUAGGGUCAUAGGUAGGCAUAUAUUUAGCUUUAGUAGAUAUUGCCAAACAGUUUCCCAAAGGGGUUGUACCAACUUAAAUUUCCCCAGUAGUGUAUGAGUGUUCCAGUUAGUGGCUCUACAUUUUAAUGAACACUUGGUUUUAUCUGUCUUUUAAAUUUUAGCUACUUUGCUCGGUGUACAGUGGUAUCUUUGUGGGUUUUUAAAAACGUAUUUUAUUGUAAUUGUGGGAAAAUAUGUAUAUUUAGAAUUUACCAUCUUAAUCUUUUUUUUUUUUUUGAGACAGAGAGUGCUGGAGUGCAGUGGUGCGAUCUUGGCUCACUGCAGCCUCUGCCUCCUGGGUUCAAGCAAUUCUCCUACCUUAGCCACCCAAGUAGCUGGAAUUACAGGCGGACAACACCAC